GAUGAACGCUGGCGGCGUGCCUAAUACAUGCAAGUCGAGCGAACGGACGAAAAGCUUGCUUCUCUGAAGUUAUCGGCUGACGGGUGAGUAACACGGGGAUAAUCUACCUAUAGGACCGGGCUAAUUUCGGGAAACCGGCGCUGAGACCGGAUAAUAUUUUGAACCUAAUGGUUCAAAAAUGCAAGACGGUCUUGUUGACACUAAUAGAUGGAUCCGCGCUGCAUUAGCUAGUUGGUAAGGUAACGGCUUACCAAGGCAACGAUGCAUAGCCGACCUGAGAGGGUGAUCGGCCACACUGGAACUGAGACACGGUCCAGACUCCUACGGGAGGCAGCAGUAGGGACUCUUACGCAAUGGGCGAAUGCCUGACGGAGCAACGCCGAGUGAGUGAUGAAGGUCUUAGGAUCGUAAAACUAUGUUAUUAGGGAAGAACAAAUGUGUAAGUAACUGUGCACAUCUUGACGGUACCUAAUCAGAAAGCCACGGCUAACUACGUG
rnacentral:rRNA from 1 species